GAGUAAUUUUGUUGUCUCCAGCUUAAUAGCGUAUCCAUAUUUUGCGGGAUUUCUGAAGGAGCUGCAUGGGUUCCAGUUGCCCUACUAAUUGAAUGAAUUUGGAAACUCGUGCUUGACCUGAACCCUCGGGCGGCGCCGUUCCCAGUGGGGAAAGAGACUGUUUGGAGACAUCGCCCUCCAGUGACAGCACUCGGGAACUGUUGAGAGGCCUGGGUACACCCUUGCUUCCCAUUGAUUGUUCGUCUAAGAACAGGAGUGCUCUGAGCCCGUUCAAGCCUGUGAAAGCUCCCUUGAGUUCGUUGUACGUUUGUCCUUGCCCGGAUGUGUCGGCAACACGCUUGGAGGCAUAAACGGGAACAAAGCUUCAGACGUGUUCUUAACCGUCAGGAGUAACAGUUUUAGAUAAAAGCUGCAGAAUUGCUCAUCAAUACUGGGAAGGCUGAGCACAACUAGAAUUAUUCCGGUAACUUAACAAAAAAUAAAUAAACAUGUCAAUAGUUACAGGGUUUAGGAGGGAGGGAGAGUGUAAAUUCAUAGCAAAACAUUUGGUACAUUCCGUUUAGCCCCUUCCCUUGUGCGGGGGCGGAAGUCUGAGGCGAGUAGGGUGCACUGUGGGGAGGGGCAGCAGAGAAGAAGUCUCACCAGGGUAGACAGGACCAGGGGGCCGUGCUGAGCCCUGGCCCUAGGAGCUGGCAAUCCAAGGCAUGCCCUCACUCCUCACAGGAUGGCAAGGAGAAACGAUCAAUCGCUUAAGUAAUGAAAAACAUCAAAAUCAGACCCGUCUGCAGUAAGAAUCCACAGCAGUCCUUCCGCAGCGCAGCGCAGCGCAGCGCAGCACAGCACUGCCUCCGCCGGCCGACUUCCUUCCCUCGGAACUGAGCCCAUCCAGGGCUGCAGAGCGGCCUGCAGUCCCUGGUGGCAACAGCACUUAGCGGCGCCUCAUGUUUAAUGCAAGCAAGCCUCGGAAACAGGAAAGCUUUCAAGAUACAGCUGAAGAUACACGAGCGCUGCCCUUUACAGAGCAAACACGAAUGUACAAAACCAACGUGGGUUUUCCUAUGUUACAAUAAUUGUGUUCUCAUCUGUACAGAUUUAAGCAAACCGCUUCUGUCAGAAGAAAGGAGAAAUCUAUAUCCAAGGGCCUCUGUGGCCUAGAGAGGCCUGAGUCACCUCUGUUUUUUGAGUCUCCUAGUAAUUUUAAAAUGAAAAAAUUCCGGCCGGGCGCGAUGGCUCAUGCCUGUAAUCCCAGAACUUUGGGAGGCAGAGGCGGGCGGAUCUCCUGAGGUCAGGAGUUCGAGACCAGCCUGACUAACAUGGUGAAACCCCAUUUCUACUAAAAACACAAAAAAUUAGCGGGGCAUGGUGGCACGCGCCUGUAAUCCCAGCUGCUCGGGAGGCAGAGACAGAAGAAUCGCUUGAACCCGGGAGGCGGAGGUUGCACUGAGCCAAGAUUGUGCCAUUGCACUCCAGCUUGGGCAACAACAGCGAAACUCCGUCUCCAAAAAGAAAAACGAAAAAAUACUAAAAUAGGUUAUACAAUUUGUAGUUCAUUUGUAAAUGCUCAUCAUUAGCAAGUUAAUAUUUUUA
rnacentral:lncRNA from 1 species